GGCUCGAUGGCGGACGGUCCGCACCUGCAUCCUGUGCAGGAAGAUUUAGCCUUUAACUGCAGGAAAAGCCCGUUCGACUCGGGCUCGAGCCA